rnacentral:rRNA from 1 species
AGUAAAUUGGUUAAGUUAGAAAGGGCGCACGGUGGAUGCCUUGGCACUAGGAGCCGAAGAAGGACGGGACUAACACCGAUAUGCUUUGGGGAGCUGUACGUAAGCGUUGAUCCAGAGAUUUCCGAAUGGGGGAACCCACUAUCUUUAGUCGGAUAGUAUCCUUACGUGAAUACAUAGCGUAAGGAAGGCAGACCCAGGGAACUGAAACAUCUAAGUACCUGGAGGAAGAGAAAGAAAAAUCGAUUUCCUGAGUAGCGGCGAGCGAAACGGAAAGAGCCCAAACCAAGAAGCUUGCUUCUUGGGGUUGUAGGACACUCUAUACGGAGUUACAAAAGAAAGUUAUAAAUGAAGCGGUCUGGAAAGGCCCGCCAAAGACGGUAACAGCCCGGUAGUUGAAAUGGCUUUCCCUCCAGAGUGGAUCCUGAGUACGGCGGAACACGUGAAAUUCCGUCGGAAUCCGGGAGGACCAUCUCCCAAGGCUAAAUACUCCCUAGUGACCGAUAGUGAACCAGUACCGUGAGGGAAAGGUGAAAAGCACCCCGGAAGGGGAGUGAAACAGUUCCUGAAACCG